GACGAACGCUGGCGGCGUGCUUAACACAUGCAAGUCGAACGGAAAGGCCCUGCUUUUGUGGGGUGCUCCAGUGGCGAACGGGUGAGUAACACGUGAGUAACCUGCCCUUGACUUUGGGAUAACUUCAGGAAACUGGGGCUAAUACCGGAUAGGAGCUCCUGCUGCAUGGUGGGGGUUGGAAAGUUUCGGCGGUUGGGGAUGGACUCGCGGCUUAUCAGCUUGUUGGUGGGGUAGUGGCUUACCAAGGCUUUGACGGGUAGCCGGCCUGAGAGGGUGACCGGCCACAUUGGGACUGAGAUACAGCCCAGACUCCUACGGGAGGCAGCAGUGGGGAAUAUUGCACAAUGGGCGGAAGCCUGAUGCAGCAACGCCGCGUGCGGGAUGACGGCCUUCGGGUUGUAAACCGCUUUCGCCUGUGACGAAGCGUGAGUGACGGUAAUGGGUAAAGAAGCACCGGCUAACUACGUG
rnacentral:rRNA from 1 species